rnacentral:rRNA from 1 species
UACGUAGGGUGCAGGCGUUAAUCGGAAUUACUGGGCGUAAAGCGUGCGCAGGCGGUUUGCUAAGACAGGUGUGAAAUCCCCGGGCUUAACCUGGGAACUGCGCUUGUUACUGGCAAGCUAGAGUGUGGCAGAGGGGGGUGGAAUUCCAGGUGUAGCAGUGAAAUGCGUAGAGAUCUGGAGGAACACCAGAGGCGAAGGCGGCGACCUGGACAGGUACUGACACUCAACUACGAAAGCGUGGGGAGCAAACAGG